UACGAAGGGGGCUAGCGUUGCUCGGAAUGACUGGGCGUAAAGGGCGCGUAGGCGGAUGGCACAGUCAGAUGUGAAAUUCCCGGGCUUAACCUGGGGGGCUGCAUUUGAUACGUGUGAUCUAGAGUGAGGAAGAGGGUCGUGGAAUUCCCAGUGUAGAGGUGAAAUUCGUAGAUAUUGGGAAGAACACCAGUGGCGAAGGCGGUUGCCUGGAGCUUUGCUGACGCUGAGGCGCGAAAGCGUGGGGGAGCGAUCCGG
rnacentral:rRNA from 1 species